rnacentral:rRNA from 1 species
GAUGAACGCUGGCGGCAUGCCUAAUACAUGCAAGUCGAGCGAACAGAUGAGGAGCUUGCUCCUCUGACGUUAGCGGCGGACGGGUGAGUAACACGUGGAUAACCUACCUAUAAGACUGGGAUAACUUCGGGAAACCGGGGCUAAUACCGGAUAAUAUAUUGAACCGCAUGGUUCAAUAGUGAAAGACGGUUUUGCUGUCACUUAUAGAUGGAUCCGCGCCGCAUUAGCUAGUUGGUAAGGUAACGGCUUACCAAGGCAACGAUGCGUAGCCGACCUGAGAGGGUGAUCGGCCACACUGGAACUGAGACACGGUCCAGACUCCUACGGGAGGCAGCAGUAGGGAAUCUUCCGCAAUGGGCGAAAGCCUGACGGAGCAACGCCGCGUGAGUGAUGAAGGUCUUCGGAUCGUAAAACUCUGUUAUUAGGGAAGAACAAAUGUGUAAGUAACUAUGCACGUCUUGACGGUACCUAAUCAGAAAGCCACGGCUAACUACGUG